GGUGCAGUCCAGCUCCACGGUCGCGCGUCCCACAGCUCCCUUCACGUCCGUUCCUCCGUUUCCCCACCUUGGGAGGGCCAGGACUUCCGAGGCUUUAGGGGGCAGGAAGCUGCGAGAAGGUGGCGCUUGCUUAGGUGAGGCGCGGAGGAUGGUAUUAGAGAGAGGAACGUGACUGGAAGCUCCCUGGCCAUGGACGAUCGCUGGGUUCUAGGCGCCUGCUCGCCCCAGCGGUUGACGGUCACGUGAUACCCCCCAGUGUACCUUUCCUGCAGCGUGUUACGUGGCGCACAGAGAACGUCGCUUCCAGAGGACCGUUUUUUCGUAACUGGCAGUAGUAAUCUGGCGGUUGACACUCUCGUUGCCUGUAUAGGCUGAUGGCCCACUCACCUUUUUAGCUGGGCUCCUGACCUGUCCGGCCAGAAAGUUGCCACUGGGAAACCUGGACCCCUACUGAAUGGAUCUGCUGGCACCUAGACCUCAGAGAAGGGGGAACUGAAGACUGAAAUGGCUGACAUGAUGGUCUGUGACCUGAAAGUUGUUGAAUAGUUGGAGUGUUCUGCAUUCAUGUGGAAGAGGCUAAAGGAUGUUUGAUGAAGCACUAUGGGCUGCCCUGGAAGAGGACUGAAGAAGCAGCUGCAGGAAAGAAACGUCCACUCUGCUCCAGUCAACCCCACUGCUGGUGUCCUCUGCACUGCCUUGCACUCCCUGAAGAGAGCCUGGGCAACAGAGCGAGACUCCAUCUCAAAAAAAAAAAAAAAAAAAAUUGGGGACUAUGUAUAUAGAUUUACUACACUGAAGCCCUCCAGCAGUCUAAGAACUGAUGCCUCUAACGAAGGAAAGGACUGCAUGUUUCUGAUGAAGCUACCAUGACCUACCAGAUUUCCAACGCCUGCCAAAAUUAAUCUAUUUGUCUGUGGUAGAAGAGGCCAUACCAUUGUGGCCCUUGAAACUUACUGUAUGAUGUUUUAUUUAGUGAACAGUUCACAUACCCAAAUGGUUGUAACUGAUACUGCUGAAUAUAUUGUAAGAACAGAAGUGUUAAGUAUGUAUAACACUUCUUUUGAUUGUAAGGAAUGUUCCCAGUGGGGAAAUGCCAUAAUUAAAACAGUGAUCGUGGGAUGAAUACAUGAUUAAGAGCUUACCUUCAUAAUAGUAAAACAGUACAGGAUGCCAGAAGGAAGGGAGGAGAGGGGAUAAUACUACUAUACUGAUGAAGUAGCUAGAAGAAAGAGGAGUGCUUAAGGAAACUAUCCAGCAGGCUAUUCAGACUGACCUCUCAUUUGGAACAGUUCUAAUGAGCCUUUUCAGCUACAAGUGAUGGUGACUGACAGUUACACUGAUUGGAGCCUGUGGCAA
rnacentral:lncRNA from 1 species